GAUGAAGAACGUAGCGAAAUGCGAUAAGUAAUGUGAAUUGCAGAAUUCAGUGAAUCAUCGAAUCUUUGAACGCACCUUGCGCCCUUUGGCCAUUCCGAAGGGCAUGCCUGUUUGACUAUCAUGAACACCUCAACUCUUCAUGGUUUUCCAUGAUGAGCUUGGACUUUGGGGGUCUUGCUGGCCUGUGGGUCGGCUCCUCUCAAAUGAAUCAGCUUGCCGGUUUUUGGUGGGCAUCACAGGUGUGAUAACUAUCUACGCUUGUGGUUUUCCACCAGGGUAACCUUCAGCAGUGGAGGUUCACUGGAGCUUACAAAUGUCUCUCCUCUGUGAGGACAGCCCUUUGAAUGUUUGAUCUCAAAUCAGGUAGGACUACCCGCUGAACUUAAGCAUAUCAAUAAGCGGAGGA
rnacentral:misc_RNA from 1 species